UUUCUCCUGCUUCCUCUUAUUAAUGAACGAGUAUUUGCAUACCAAAACAUUUGCAGAGAAGAGAUUCAGACAGGACUAGGUGGCUUUAUUGGUGGUGGUGAGGUUGUGGGGUGGGGGUAUUUUUCUUGGAGCUUGGUGUAUUCCUGAAUCCAUCAGAUGUUGGUGUCCGCGUGGAUGACUAGGAAAAGGGGAUUGGAGAUUAGGUUUCUUCUAUUUGGAGUUCUCUGCUGCUUGUUUGAGCUUAAUAAGCCUCCUGAAGAAGUUGAAACAAUUUAUUGCUAGAGGAGCCCCAAUGUAUAAUCUCCCUUUCAUUCUCUACUGUGGAGAGGUGUGCUAAACCUGUAGAGCUCUCUUUUCUGGAGGCUGCCCACAUUCCUUGGCUUAUGGCCCCCUUCUUCCAACGUCAAAGCCAGCAACAUUGCAGCAAUCUGACUUAUUUUGUUGUCACAUCUCCUGACCACACCUGGAAGGGUUAUCUACUUUUGAAGACACAUCCAGAUAAUUCAGGACAGUCUCUCCAUUUUGAGGUUCUUCAUUGAAUCAUGUCUGCAAAGUCCCUUCUGCAAUCUAAGUAAGAAAAAUCACCAAGAAUAUUAUUUUUGGUAUUUGGAAUUGAAUUUGCCAGGAAUGCAAGCACUGCUACCUAACUAAAGACCUUGGCUUUGGAAACAUCUUACCCCUUGGCAGCUCUCCAGAGUUUAGACUUGGCAGCAUCAAAGACACAACUCAAGGUGUGUUUAUUUGAUUUAACAUUUUGCAAAAGGUGUUUUGAUUUGUGGUUUGUUUUCUUUCACUUUGUACUUAUUGCUUUGGGUUGUUUUCUUCUGGCAAUGAACCUGGGUUCCAAGCAUAGGUUUUUCUUAUGGAAGGCAGUAUUACAAUAAGGAAAUGUUUUUACUUGUAUUUAUUUUGUGAUAUUUCAGCAAAUCCAAAUAAAUGAAGUAACAUUUAUAAAGGUAUACAUUUAUAACUGAUUUAUUUGUUAAAUGUUUAGUAUUAUCAAUUGUCUAUUAAAGAUUUGUUGCUACAUUAAAUGCUUGGUCUGUCUUGAUGUUCAGUAUAUUAUUAUACUUUGGUAUAUUGCAAUAUUUUGGUAAUUUAUUGGUUUUAGUCACUGUUCCUGCAUAUUAAGUAAUAAACAGAUUAAUAUCAUCAUAAAAUAUCAUUUACUCAGCAAUAUUUCUUAGUAAAUUGAUACAUCCAUUUUUCUCAUGUAUUGUGGAGAGAGGAAAUAUUACAUAAAAUGGAAGAAUAUGGGCCUGUGUUUAUCUCUGACCUCAUCGCUUACUGUUCUUUCCCACUCCUCACUCUACUCAAAGCCUUUGAAUAGCUCUCCAUUUUACUCAACAUCAAAUCUAAAUAAAGCUUUUAAACUGUUCUAAAUGUCUCUACAGUACUUGAACCUUUGUUACUUCUCUAAUUUCAUGUCUAACUCUGCUCAUCGUCAUUCUCUUGCCCUGGGCAUACUGCCUCCCUUUUUGUUCUCUGAACAUGCCAGGCAUUUUCUCAUCUCAGAAUUUUUGCACUUGCUAUUUUUUCUACUGAAUUGCUCUUCAUCCAUAUAUAGCAAUUGUAUGACCAAUUUCCUUACUUUUCUUUUGGUCGUUAUUAAAAGUUCACCUUCUAAAUAGAGUCUUACCUGAUGACCAUCCAAAGCUUUAUAUUCUUUCUUUGCUCUAUAAUUUUUAUCACUCUCUAUUAAACUAUAUGUUUACACUU
rnacentral:sRNA from 1 species